AGUGAACGCUGGCGGUAGGCCUAACACAUGCAAGUCGAACGGCAGCACAGUAAGAGCUUGCUCUUACGGGUGGCGAGUGGCGGACGGGUGAGGAAUACAUCGGAAUCUACUUUUUCGUGGGGGAUAACGUAGGGAAACUUACGCUAAUACCGCAUACGACCUACGGGUGAAAGCAGGGGAUCUUCGGACCUUGCGCGAUUGAAUGAGCCGAUGUCGGAUUAGCUAGUUGGCGGGGUAAAGGCCCACCAAGGCGACGAUCCGUAGCUGGUCUGGGAGGAUGAUCAGCCACACUGGAACUGAGACACGGUCCAGACUCCUACGGGAGGCAGCAGUGGGGAAUAUUGGACAAUGGGCGCAAGCCUGAUCCGGCCAUACCGCGUGGGUGAAGAAGGCCUUCGGGUUGUAAAGCCCUUUUGUUGGGAAAGAAAAGCAGCAGGUUAAUACCCCGCUGUUCUGACGGUACCCAAAGAAUAAGCACCGGCUAACUUCGUG
rnacentral:rRNA from 1 species